rnacentral:tRNA from 1 species
GGUGGCUCAGUGGUAGAGUGCUUGCCUUCCCUGCAUGAAGCCCUGGGUUCGAUUCCUCAGCACCA